UCUAAAGGCCAGGAGGUGGAAAGGGCUUGUUUGGGGAUUCCCCCCCACCCCCACCUCCGGCGCUGGCACAACCUGAGGUCCUGCCAGGCCUCCGCCAUCAGUCACCCACUACCAGCCAGGCCUGGGGAGGGGGGGGCUGAGUCUGCGACCCUGGUGGGCAGGUGACACUGACCACCGCUUCCUCCGGACUCAAUCAGAACACAGCCGGUCGCAUCCAAGAGGUGCCAAGUGGGGACCCGGCGCCUGCCCAGGUUCUGCAAGAGCGUGGGCCUCGUGGAGGCAGGGAGGAAGCACGUGUGUGUCUCAGUACAGGGACUCGCUCGGAAAAGUCUUUGAGAACUCGUGACACAAGUAUUUGAAAGAUGGAGACACUUUUUUUAGUGGAAUAUUUGUACCUCCUCCCCCCGCCCCGCCCAACUCCUGCGAUCUACUAUCCGUAAGUAUACAGUGAAAAGCCUUCACCCCAGAAGAACAUCAGACAAGUCCCCUGAGGAACCAUCUAUAAAGUAUCUGACCAGUCCUCAAAACUGUCAAGGCCACCAAAAACAAGGCAAGACUGAGAAACUGCCACAGCCAGGAGGAGCCUAAGGAGACAUGACCAUUAAAUGUGAUGUGGGAGCCUGCAUGGGAUCCUGGAACAGAAAAAGGACAUUUGGGGAAAACUAAGGAAAUCCGAGGCAAGAUGGACUUCAGGCAAUAAUAUAUCAAUGCUGGUUCAUUAACUGUAACCAAAGUACCACACUAACCCUGGAAAGACCCUCAUUCCUGUGGCCAGUUCCCUGUUCAUGGACUUGGGCUCUGCGAUGUCUUGCAGUCCUAACACGACUUGAGGACAAAACCGAGGGCAUAACCCUGGCAAACAGUGGACUUCGAAUCUCUCUACCUCGCUGUCCUUGAAGUUGGCCCGCCAGCAAACUGCCUGAGUUUUUGAAGCACUUCAAACUUCCAGCCGUCAGUGCAUGCCCCCAAAGCCCUUCUGCACGCCGGUCGUUGGCUGGAGUUCAUUCUUAAUUUACGUUUCUUAAGGUGACCAGCUUCCUACGUGGCCAAAAGAUGAGGUGUUCGGCAUCUGUUACGAGCCUGGGCCGUGAGCCUCUGGCGAAGAUUUCUCACUCUCUCCAUAAGAUCCUGUUCC